GGCGCCUCUAUCGCACGCCAGCCGCCGGGAAGCGAGAGCGGGCGCCGGCCGGCGGCCGCUGCCUCUGACAGACGCACCGGUCGAGGCUCCGCGCCCAUCAGCAGCACGCGGCCGCCAUGGCGGCGCGGAGGAGCCGCCCGCGGGAGCGGGAGCGGCAACGACCUCGCGAUCCCGCCGCAGGAAAUGACCAAGUUCACUCCUGGACACUCGUCACCAGCCAAGCCUUAGAUACCACGUGGAGAGUAGCAAAGGGGUCAGUGACGUUGGCAGUUUCAUUUCUGGUGGGCACCCUCUGCUACUUCAGAAGGCUACAUUUAUAUUUAGGGCACUGGCUGAAAAGGUGGAUUGGAUAUCUGCAGAGGAGAUUCAAAAGGAACCUCAGCGUGGAGGCAGAAGUUGAUUUACUCAAUUAUUGUGCAAGAGAAUGGAAAGGAGAGACACCCCAUGCCAAGCUGAUGAGGAAGGCUUACAAGGAGCUGUUUUGGCAGCGGCACAUUAAAUGUGUUCGACAAGUAAGGAGAGACAACUACGACGCACUAAGGUCGGUGCUCUUCCAAGUCUUCAGCCAGGGCCUCUCUUUCCCAUCCUGGAUGAAAGAGAAAGAUAUUGCGAAGCUUCCUGAAAAACUGCUCUUUUCACAAGGUUGUAAUUGGAUCCAGCAAUACAGUUUUGGUCCUGAGAAGUAUACAGGUUCGAAUGUGUUUGGAAAAUUACGUAAAUGUGUGGAAUUAUUGAAAACACAGUGGACUGAAUUUAGUGGAAUUAAAGAUUAUCACAAGCGAGGAAGCAUGUGCAACGUCCUUUUUUCUGAUGCUAUCCUGGAGUGUAAACUUUACGAAGCUCUGAAGUUCAUCAUGCUCUAUCAAGUCACUGAGGCUUAUGAACAAAUGAAGACCAAAAACGUCAUUCCCAGUCUUUUUCGACUCCUGUUUACCCGGGAAACCUCUUCCGACCCUUUGAGCUUCAUGAUGAAUCACCUGAACUCUGUAGGUGACACGUGUGGACUAGAGCAGAUUGAUAUGUUUGUACUUGGAUACUCCCUGGAAGUAAAGAUAAAAGUGUUCAGACUGUUCAGGUUUAACUCCAGAGACUUUGAAGUCUGCUACCCAGAGGAGUCGCUCAGGGAGUGGCCGGAGGUCUCCCUGCUGACCGAGAAUGACCGCCACUAUCACAUUCCUGUCUUUUAAGUCUGCCUGGACCGGGCACCAGCUCUCGCCGGUGACAGUGGUCACACUUGCAAGUAAUGUUUCUAGAAAAGCAAAGCUAGUACUGCUGCCAUUGGAGGAAUCGGGACCUCCCUUUCCAGGAUUACAGGUACACUGGACGGAGACCCACGUGCCUUCCCUUUGUUUCCAGUGAUUUCCUCCAGAGCCCCUGCACUAAUGUAUUUGUGGGUUGGUGGUUUGACCUUGUUUGUAAAGGCUCUGGUCAUUUCACCCACAACAGAGCACAAGGACAUUUAGUUUGGGAAGAACAACAACAGGAAGAAAGCGAGAAGAAAACAAGUAGGGGAAAAGGACUAAAGGGAAAGAAUUUCUUUGUCUAUAAUCUUUAUGUUCUUUGUCUGAUUUUGGAUCUUCAUAAACAUGGCCUUAUUUUAUAAGCAUUACCUUCCCAGGAAUCUCUAUGGUAUAUUAAUUUUCCAGAACCAUUCAAUUAACUUUAAAAUUGUGUGUGUGUGUGUGUGUAUUUACACUCACACACACAUAAACAUGUAUAAUUUUAUAUAUAUAUCUAAACACAUACGUACACAUAGCCACUACUUUGUAAUGUUGUACAAUUUGUUUUACAUCUCUUUACUUUUUUUUUUUUUUUUUUACUAUCGCAUCUGGCUAGUUUAAUAUAGAUCAGAGAUUAAGUUCUGUAGAUUAAGGCAACUGAAUGACAAUUAUUGUACUGUCACAAAAAUAUUAAACGGUGUAUUUAAUGUGUAUUUACAUGUGUAUUUUAUGUGUGUAGGGAGAAUCCUGCAUCCUAAUCCCCAGAACCUGUAAAUAUGUUGGGUUAAAUGGCAAAGGAGAAUAAGGUUGCAGGUGGAAUUAAGGGACUAAUCCACUGACCUUGAAAUAGGGAGAGUAGUCUGGGUUCUGCAGGUAGGCCCAACAUAAUCACAAGGGCCCUUAAAGUGGAAGAGGGACUUGGGAGAGUGUCAGUCAGUCAGAGGGAAAUGUGAGGUAUGGAAGGACAGUCAGAGACAGAUGCAACACUGCUGGCGUUGGUUUCUUACAGCAGAUACAGGAAGGAAGUUACUGCAGUUUCAGGAAGGAGCCACAAGCCAAAGAAUGUGGGUGGCCUCUGGAAGCUGGAAAAGGCGAGGGAACAGAUUCUCCCCUAGAGCCUCCAGAGGGGAACGUGGCCCUGCCAACACUUUGAUUGUAGCCCAGUGGAGCCCGUGUCAGGCCUCUAGCCUACAGACCUGUAAGACGAUAGAUGAUAUGCUGUUUAAGUCGCUAAGUUUCUGGUAACGUGUUACAGCAGCAGUAGACAACUAAUAUACUCAGGCUAACUAGCUUUUGGUCAUCUUUAUUUUGGAAAUACUUUUUCCGUUUAUUUUGGUAAUCUUUAUUUUGGAGGUACUUUGCUCGUCUGUUUUGAAUUUCAACAAAUAUUGAAUACAAAAUAACCUUUAAAAUCUUGGCUAAUGAUCCACUACUUCAAAGUUACACAUCCCUUCUAAGAACGUCUUACCAUGUUUGACGCUAACGUUUUCUCACAUUUCCAUAUUUUACUGUAAAUGAAAAAGAGGUAUGUUAAAUGCUGUGGUGCAUGAAAAUAACAAUCAGAUUCUUCUGUAAUGGGGACGAUCACCUGUAUGAGCUGUACUGCAUCAGCCAGCGCCGUGCCUGCCGUCGUUCUGUUCUCCGGGUGAAGAGCUGCAGAGUAGCGAGCUCAGCUCCAGGGGCUGUGCGUUAGCUUGACAGGCGCGCGAAGCAGGAGUUCUCACGUGAGCUCUACAGCCCAUUCCUGCUUGGAGGCAUCUAUGGUUUUGCAUCACCCCAGUCAUUUAAUUGACACUGUUGCAAGUGACCCCCUUGAUGUGUUACUGUGACCAAGAAAAAAUGAACUCUCCCCUCUGUGUUCACAAGCAGAUAUGAUGACAGCCUGCAGCAGUUCUCCUGAGACUGAUACACGUAGAAUUGCUGCUCUGGACUCCUGGCUCCACCUGAGCCUGUCCAGGCUAAGAAAAUGAAAGCUUAUCUGGACUACAUUUAUGCUUAAUAUCAACAUGGUUUAUAAGUGAUAGAACAACUACUCACAUGUUCAAUCAGCCCUGGACCAGAAGGCUGUGUAGAACCGCCAGAAGUGCAUGCCGUCUGUCUGCACUGGAAGACCAUAGAAUGCGCUUGAGGAAACAAGAGCUCAGUGUGGAAUGAGUGUGAUUCAAAGCCAGCGUGGAUGAGUGGACCACAUGUGGGAUGAUCAAGUUAUAUUCCUAUCCGGUGUCUCUGGAGAAAAUACCACUCUCUGUUUUAAAAACAAAAAAACCCAAGUUCUGAAUAUAAUUGAUCCAUUGGUCCUCAUAGUCAACGUCAUCAGGUCUCAGAUUAUUUAAGUCAUUUUGCUGCCACCAGUGUCACUUAGUCACUUGGAAAGUUUAGUCAAGACAAUUUCCUAAAAUUUUUUUUAAAUGCUCGCUUUAAGUAUUUUCAACUUAGCCUAGAUGGUUUGUAAAACCCAUUUCUGUACAAGUAGUUUAUUUAAAUAAGGAAUGUGUCCUAAGAAGCAUUCCUGAGGUACAGAAAUAUUUUUUCCAUUGAAAUAGCCUAUUCGUAAACAAAGAAUAUUUCCUUAUUUCUAACUUAUAAAACCUCAGACGGAACAUCUAGACAGACCAUAUAGAGGAUGGUAGUUAAAACUAUCAGCAUAGCAUUUUACUAUUCUGUUUUACUCAUCCUUGAGUUUGAAAAGGUGGGGUGAAGGUCAAAUCAGUAAUGCUAGAAGGCCUCAUGG